AGUGAACGCUGGCGGCAGGCCUAACACAUGCAAGUCGAGCGGCAGCGCGGGGGCAACCCUGGCGGCGAGCGGCGGACGGGUGAGGAAUUCGUCGGAAUCUGCCUUUUUGUGGGGGAUAACGUAGGGAAACUUACGCUAAUACCGCAUACGUCCUACGGGAGAAAGUGGGGGACCGCAAGGCCUCACGCAGAAGGAUGAGCCGACGACCGAUUAGCUAGUUGGUGGGGUAAAGGCCCACCAAGGCGACGAUCGGUAGCUGGUCUGAGAGGAUGAUCAGCCACACUGGGACUGAGACACGGCCCAGACUCCUACGGGAGGCAGCAGUGGGGAAUAUUGGACAAUGGGCGCAAGCCUGAUCCAGCCAUGCCGCGUGUGUGAAGAAGGCCUUCGGGUUGUAAAGCACUUUUGUCCGGAAAGAAAUCCCUGGAGCUAAUACCUUCGGGGGAUGACGGUACCGGAAGAAUAAGCACCGGCUAACUUCGUG
rnacentral:rRNA from 1 species